CCUUCACAAUGUGCGAAAGCGCGAUGAGGGGAUCCCAAGUGCUUGCACUUAAGUGUAAGCUGUUUCUUUGUUUAAAAUGCAGAGAGAGGAAGGGCUGGGUAAGACGGGUGCCAGCCGCCGCGGUAAUACCUGCAGCUCAAGUGGUGACCGUUAUUAUUGGGCCUAAAACGUUCGUAGCCGGCUGAGUAAAUGCUUGGGUAAAUCGUGCCGCUUAACGGUACGAAUUCCGGGUAGACUGCUCAGCUUGAGACCGGGAGAAGCUAGAGGUACUCCUGGGGUAGAGGUGAAAUUCUGUAAUCCUGGGGGGACCACCAGUGGCGAAGGCGUCUAGCUAGAACGGGUCUGACGGUGAGGGACGAAACCCUGGGGCGCAAACCGGAUUAGAUACCCGGG
rnacentral:rRNA from 1 species